UACGUAGGGGGCUAGCGUUGUCCGGAUUUAUUGGGCGUAAAGAGCGUGUAGGCGGCCAGGUAGGUCCGGUGUGAAAACUCGAGGCUUAACCUCGAGAUGUCAUCGGAAACCAUCUGGCUAGAGUCCGGAAGAGGAAAGUGGAAUUCCUGGUGUAGCGGCGAAAUGCGCAGAUAUCAGGAAGAACACCAAUGGCGAAAGCAGCUUUCUGGGACGGUACUGACGCUGAGACGCGAAAGCGUAGGGAGCGAACAGG
rnacentral:rRNA from 1 species